GUGAAUGAAGCUUUCGAGCUUCGACCACUGCCAUUGCACUUUGGCUGUGCGCUUCUCCGGAGGCUUGCACGCCAAUUUGCAUUGAUUCUCACACCUGUGCACCUUUCGAGAUGUGGGAUGUGGAAGAUUUUUAUUUUCCAAGCCCCCGUCUCGCUUUUUACCAAACCACUGUCAUGAAUGUACAAAACCUAUAACUUAUA
rnacentral:misc_RNA from 1 species